rnacentral:rRNA from 1 species
GACAGAGGGUGCAAACGUUGUUCGGAAUUACUGGGCGUAAAGCGCGUGUAGGCGGCCAUGCAAGUCGGAUGUGAAAGCCCUCGGCUCAACCGGGGAAGUGCACUCGAAACUGCAAGGCUAGAGUCUCGGAGAGGAUCGUGGAAUUCUCGGUGUAGAGGUGAAAUUCGUAGAUAUCGAGAGGAACACCGGUGGCGAAGGCGGCGAUCUGGACGAUGACUGACGCUGAGACGCGAAAGCCAGGGUAGCGAACGGG